rnacentral:lncRNA from 1 species
UAGUUUCCCAAAUGGAGUCAUACACAUCUGAUGUUCAGACAGACAUUCCUGAACAUAAAUGUGCCACCUUUUCCAAUGAGGAACUGGAAAAAAGAUAUUUACUGAAAAAUUCACAGAAAUCCAUUAUGGUGGAAUCAGAAAGUGGAACCUCUCCAAUGAGUAUAGAUGAUAGUGAUUUGAUUAAACAGGAAGUACAAAACAAUACCAUAAUACAUGUUUUAGGUUACCCCCCAAAAAGUCAAAGUAAACACAAAUUUGAAGAGGAAACUCUUAAUGUACCAGUAACGGACUGUAUUAGUUAUUCAGAUUCACCAGAAAGUUUAAAUGAAAAUUCUGGCCCUGGUGUUCUGCUUAGUGUUGAAAGUAACAGUGAAAUGAACACACAAAAAGACAUAACUCUUAUUCAUGGUGCUACACUAAAUCCUGAUGACAACAAACAUAACCAAAUAUGCCUAGAUCAAAAUCAGUUUCUUGUUUCUGGUACUGAGUUAAGCACUGAUGGCAGCAAACAUAACCAAACAUGUGAAGAUCAAGACAGAGAUAUUAUUCCUGCAUCCAAACUCAACAUGGACAAAAAUCUGGAAAAGAAUCCCUUUCUUCAUGCUGAAGGAGUGCCUGAGCAUAAGGGACAUAAAGAGGAGUUGGGUGAUGUACUGGAGCCAACUCGGCCUGUCUAUGCAAUUUCCUGCUUCUGGGAUGAGAUGGAAAAGCUAACUAUCAAUGACAUUCUACAGCUCAGAUUAGUAGGCAAUGCCCAGAGUCAUGGUUCACCCUCUUACUUGCAGGAUGAUGUUAUGAUGCAUGCAUCUGGGGCUGCCAGCUCUGGCUUCUUCACUUGUUUGGAGGACUCUAAACCUAACCUUUCCAGUGGGGACAUCUCCACUUUCUCUGACUUUGAGGAAGAGUUCUCUCUAACUCACACUCUCAGUGAAACAGCUAGUCCUGAGCCUCAGGUUUCUGAAAGUCAGUUUCAAAGUUCACCUAAUCCCAACAGGUCACGAGAUGUGUUAUGGGAAAGUGGAAUAGACCCUAUGCUGGCUUUAAAUGAUGCACUGGUGACACACUCUGAUGAUGUUCGUGAACAAAGCAUGUUCCUUGGAAGUGACCAGAAAUGUCUCACAAGGAUGCGCAAAAAUAUCAGCGUGAAGAACCUAACGGGUCUGGAGAUAGAAGAGUGCCAUAUGGGUCUUGGGUCUCGG